GAAAUGCGAUAAGUAAUGUGAAUUGCAGAAUUCAGUGAAUCAUCGAAUCUUUGAACGCACAUUGCGCCCGCCAGUAUUCUGGCGGGCAUGCCUGUCCGAGCGUCAUUUCGAUCCUCGAGGCCCCCCCGGGGGCCUCGGCGUUGGGGGACGGCCCGCCCCGAGCGCGCCGCCCCCGAAAUACAGUGGCGGUCCCGCCGCAGCCUCCCCUGCGCAGUAGCUUGCACGCUCGCACCGGAGAGCGGCGAGGCCACGCCGUGAAACCCCCAACCCAUGAAAUGUUGACCUCGGAUCAGGUAGGAGUACCCGCUGAACUUAA
rnacentral:misc_RNA from 1 species